CGCCGCCGUCUUCGCCGGACCGCCGAGGUGCCGCCGCUCCCUCACGGUGCUUCCCCGUCGCCGAGCGCCGUCGCCUCCGAUCCCCUCCUUCUCCUCCGUCGUCCACCGCCCGAGCCGCCGGUGCCCGAGCCGACGCCACCAUCCCGCCGGGGCCCGAGCCGACGCCACCAUCCCGCCGGGGCCCGAGCUGACGCCGACGGCCUCAUUGUACAUCCCCUCCCAUUUUCCUCACCACCGGCCGACUCCACAGGCCGCCCGCCGCCCUCCUUCCGCCGCCCUCUCCUCCUCACGGUCCGACUGCCCCGCCGUGUUCCUCUCCCCAUCUUUUGCACCACUGCCGCACCUCUCCACCACUCACCACCGCUUCCUCACUCACAGCUCGCCGCCCUCCCUUUCCCCUCAUUCCUUUUUUUUUUAUUUUCUUUGGCCACUGCAACUCACCUGAUCACCUCUCCAUCGACCCCCAGACAGGCCCCUUUUGGGCCGGGCCACCCACUGCCUCCUCACAGGCCCAAGCCAGCAGGCCAUCACUAUUGAGGUCUGAUCCCAUCUCACAAACUCAGCAGGUCUACUCUCCUCCAUUUUACAAGCCCAGCAGACUAGCCAAGGU
rnacentral:lncRNA from 1 species